CCACAGCAAGCCUCCCUGCAGCUGGCCCUGGCCCAUGGGCUCCUCCCCGGGCCCGACACCUCCGGGACACUCGCUGCCCAGAGCAACGAUGUGGAUGGACCUGCCAGGCAGACAACUCCUGGGCAUAUCCCCCUCAGAUGCCUCAGCCAUGGCCCUUUCCACCUUUCCUUUUUCUCCCUGGUAGUAGUCCGAGUCAAUCCAGAAAGGGCUUGUGGUGAGUUUGACAAAGACUUCCCCGUUGAUCUCUGUGACUGUGUGGACCCUCU